UUGGCAUAGCGGUUAAGUGUUUGUCUGCUAACCAAAAGGUCGGUAGUUCGAAUCCACCA
rnacentral:tRNA from 1 species